GGUCUUUAUCCUCAUCUCUCUCAGGUAAACCAUUUAUAUCUUUUCCAAUUUUUUAUUAGCUGAAUUUAAAGCAAAAAAGCAGAUGAUCUUAUGCCUUAUUUAGAAAUCUUCAAUGGAUAAGUUCAAAGGUAAACUUCUGUCUGCUCUUCAUUUUGAAUGUGAGUAUUUAGUUGUAACGUUUUAUUUUAUAUAAAGUUGCGCAAGUUAAGGUUUUAUGUGUUUUUCAUUUGAACGGUUGUUCCAUUUAGUCGUAAUAAUUUGUGGCAUGACUUAAACAAAUGGUCACAAUAUCUUUCUUUUUCUAUUUUCCUUUUUCUGUGGGGAUAAAUUUGUCCACUUCAUUGGUGAAAAGAAAAAGGUUUAAUAUGGAAUAAGAUAAAUAAUGGAGCUUUGAUGGCAUUGCACUUUGAUCAGAAGGUCUGGAAUUUUAAAUUCACCUGUUCAUCGUUGAUGUCUUUCUUUUGGUGCCUUUUGGAGUUAGUAAUCAGCUUGAAU
rnacentral:misc_RNA from 1 species